AUUGAACGCUGGCGGCGUGCCUAAUACAUGCAAGUCGAGCGAAGCGGGGACGGGUGAGUAACACGUGGAUAACCUCCUAUAAGACUGGGAUAACUUCGGGAAACCGGAGCUAAACCGGAAACUUAUAGAUGGAUCCGCGAUGCAUUAGCUAGUGGGUAAGGUAACGGCUUAACAAGGCAACGAUGCAUAGCCGACCUGAGAGGUGGAUCGGCCACACUGUAACUGAGACACGGCCCAGACUCCUACGGGAGGCAGCAGUGUGGAAUCUUCCGCAAUUGGCGAAAGCCUGACGGAGCAACGCCGCGUGAGUUAUGAAGGUCUUCGGAUCGUAAAACUCUGUUAUUAGGGAAGCGGUACCUAAUCAGAAAGCCACGGCUAACUACGUGCCAGCAGCCGCGGUAAUAC
rnacentral:rRNA from 1 species